UAAAAACCCCGACUUCGGAAGGGGUGUAUUUAUUAGAUACAAAACCAAUGCCCUUCGGGGCUCUUUGGUGAUUCAUGAUAACUAUACGAAUCGCACGGCCUUGCGCCGGCGAUGGUUCAUUCAAAUUUCUUCCCUAUCAACUUUCGAUGUUUGGGUAUUGGCCAAACAUGGUUGCAACGGGUAACGGGGGGUUAGGGCUCGACCCCGGAGAAGGAGCCUGAGAAACGGCUACUACAUCCAAGGAAGGCAGCAGGCGCGCAAAUUACCCAAUCCCGACUCGGGGAGGUAGUGACAAUAAAUACUGAUACAGGGCCCUUUCGGGCCUUGUAAUUGGGAUGAGUACAAUUUAAAUCCCUUAACGAGGAACAAUUGGAGGGCAAGUCUGGUGCCAGCAGCCGCGGUAAUUCCAGCUCCAAUAGCGUAUAUUAAAGUUGUUGUGGUUAAAAAGCUCAUAAUUGAACCUUGGGCCUGGCUGGUCGGUACGCCUUACCGCGUGAACAGAUCCGGCAGGGCCUAUCCCUUUGUGAAAAACAUACACCUUAACUAGGAUGGCGGGAAAAAUAUUUUUUUAUAUUU
rnacentral:rRNA from 1 species